AGGGACUCAGAACGGAUUACAGAAUACACAUACAAGGCAAACAUUUAAUCCCUAUUACACAGUGAAGCAACGACAUAUGAUACACAGACAAAGGAUGUAAUUCAAGAGUUUCCACAAUGCCUGUAAAGGAGUCUGGAGAUUUGUUGAAUGAUGGCUUCAGCUGAAUGAGGCAAUCACCGAGCAAGAAAAUGUCCUGGAAAAUGACAUCAUCAUUGUGUAUCUGGAUAUAUUCACAUAAACAGACAUUGCACAGACAUGCCCAUCUUUCCACCAGCCAAUACAUGACAGUGGAGGGGAGGCAAAAGAACAAGUCCCAUUACAAUGAAAACAACUACUUUUGGGGCGGUUGCAUGGGUGAAGUGCUACCACCGCCGAAAAAAUGGCAAUGGCAGACAACAGCAGGCUCCCCGUCAUUCCAUAAGGAAAGCUGGAUCGAGCAGCCGAAAAACGGCUUUCCCCCCAUGUGAUGAGGAAGAGAGGAAGCCGUGACGGAAUGGGGCAUGGAGAGACAGGUCACCAUACCCCCUGCAUGACUGCUGGCAGGACACAGUGAUCUGCAAUGUCUUCGGCAGCACGUGUGAAGAGGUUGUAACUGGUGAGAUCAGAAGGAUGUAGUCUCAUUUGAUUUUGAUUUUUUGCAGAGGUGAGAAAAUGAACAUAAUCUUUAAUAAGCUUAUUUAUCCAUUUACUUUGCUUUCACUCAGUGUAAAAAUGCACUUCUAAGACAAAAGUUGCCAUCACACAUGACUAGUGGAUGAAAAUACAUGCAGACAGAAUUUGUCAUACAAAUGAGAUCAGUUAAUGCAACUUUUCACAGUACCGCUGUUUCUUUUUACCUACUUCAUCUUAUUUCUUAGAACAAAGAUUAAUACUACAGAAAAAGUUAUGACACUUGUAGUCUUUCCAAAGAUCUCUUUGUUAACAACUGUCAGUAUAACAUAUCAAACUUAGGGCAAACUCCCUUCCCUUGGAUUGAUAUACUUUCAGGUGCUUUAAAGGCUCUUGACAUCAGGACCCCUGUAGAUUCUUUCAAGUUCAUGUUUCCCCCCCACUUCUAGUAGCAAGUGAAGCCCCGACUUCUAAUGGGGGCUCUGCAAAUAUCUCAUCAAUAUUUAAAGUGCCAUGUGUGUUUCUGUUAGUGCUACCAAUUGCAGAUCAAAGGCAUUACCUCUGAGGUGAUGCAUUCCCUUCAAGGGACUCACAGUUGAGCCUUUCUUUCUUUCUUUCUUUCUUUCUUUCUUUCUUUCUUUCUUUCUUUCUUUCUUUCUUUCUUUCCUUCUUUCUUUCUUUUGGAAGAACUUCUUUUAACACCAUCUGCUUUUUCUUGGGCCUUGAGCAUGUUGUUUGGCAACUAUGGGGAAUUCAGUGUACAGUCAGUGAAAAUGCCAAAGUACAUAUUCUGGUCAUUUGAGGGAGGAAAGGAUGAAAAAGACUUUUCUCCUGCAGUUUUCAUUCUCCCCCCUCCCAAUACCCAGUUUAAUACCAGAGGACUGUUGAUACUGAAGCUGAAUCAACAUGGGUAUUUUUCUGAGAAUAGAGUAACAUAAGAACAUCCAGUCUAAUCAGGGCCAUAGCUGGGGGGGGGGGGGGUUAAGGGUUCAACCCUCCCUGAAAGGGUUCACCCCCUCUCAAAACCCUGAAAUUGUAGUUGCUGGUUGUGUCCAUGCUCAGCCAAUCAGAGCAUGGACACAACCGGACCUUUUAUUGGCUGAGAAAAAGAGAAAGAGAAAAAACUUCAAAUUCCAUCAUGCUCCGAGUGGAACUCAGAGACUUUUCAAUGCCUGUCCCAUGCAAAUGCUGCAGGGAAAGCGAGUUCCCAGUAGGGUCCUCUCUGGAGGAGGAGCCUGUUGGGACAUGUAAAAAUCAGUGUGUGUUAACCAAAAAUGUAAAGCAUGAAGCUGAUUGGUUUGGGCCACACCCAGGGAGCUAGCUGAGCCUGGGAGUUUUGGCAACAGUUGCAGAUAGCUUUCUGUGCAGGAGCUUAGCAGGAGAGGUUUUUGCUCCUGGGCUGCUGAAGGAAGACAUUUUACAUGGACAAAUUAAAAACCAUUUGAAUCUCCCUCAAAGGAUAUUGUGUGAGUUAAUGCAACUGUUGAAAUGACUGUAUAUAUGUUGCUCUGCAUUUUGAACAGUAAACUUCUUGUUAUUUACUGAUGAUCUGCAUGGCAUAUCUUUUCUCUGGCAAGACAGUGUGUGGACUGGUCAAAGGUGAACUACGCGUGAUUUGCAUCCUGUCACAGAUCCUAGGGAACCUUUCCAAAAGAAAUGGACACUUCACUACCAGGGAGGGAAAAAAGAUGUUGCAGGUAAUCCCAUCUUCCUCAGGAGCCCCGUGGCAGACCCCUGACUCAGAUAUAUUGGAGACUUAACUCCACACUCUUCAGUAGCCAAUAAAUCCAGCUCUCUUGAUCCAUUUCCCCCAGCUUUUUUUGUUUCUUCCUCCAUGUUCUGUUUUCAGAGGAUUACACAAAAUGGACCACCGAAUAUUAUAAAUUACUUGUGGUCAAACUGAUCUGGGUCCAAGCCUCGUAACUGGGUUGUCAUUGUUUCUCUUUUAUAAAAGUACAGAAAUCUCUCCUCCUCUUUAUCUUCUCUUUCUCUUCCUCCUCCUACUUCUUCUAAAUUUGCAUGGAAUCAUUACUAUACAAAUAUUAUAAUUUACUAAUUUUUCUCUUCUUUCCAAAUCAGGGGGCCCUUGAUGAUCAACUUUAAAUCAUUAUUUGAUGAACUUUAAAGUCUGAGCUAAAUCUUGGUGGUCUGAGGCAACAAAAGUUCAUUGUAAGGAAAAGCAUUUAACAGCUGUUCUUAUAUGGUCCAUCUUUAACAGCUAUUUGUGGAUAUUUGGUCACAGUUCUGAACACUGCACUUUUAAGCCACGGGGAAAAAAUAAUUCUAUAAAGCUCAGGAACUCACACAUAAGUGCAAAUUCCCCUUGUCUUUGUGAGGUUUUUUUUUUUGUUUUUUUUUUUUUUGCAAAGCCUUACUUGUGAGCAAUCACUUCUAAAGUCAUAGAAACAACUUGAUUUCUCUUGUUAAAAAUGAAUGCACCCCUAUCCAUCAGGUCUGACUUGUGGUUUUGAGACUGUACUUUAAGCAACUAGAAAUAGUGUGAUGGGAUUUUAAACUGUACAGUUCAAUAUGGCAGAGAGAUCGACAUUCUGCCAAUUAAUGUGAGGAAGGCAGAGAUAUUAGAAUGUUGGAGUCAUCAAAUAAUGUAAAGUUAGAUGGGAUUUUUUGUGUGUGGAAGCCAUGCAGUGUCAAUGUUCAGCAAAAUGAAUCUAUGCUGACUUCACAUACCAUCGAAGGAGCCGGCCUGUCUGUGUCUUGCAGUUCAGAGAUUUUUAAUAUCAUCCUAAACAGAAAUUCAAGGGUUUUACUGCUAGGAAGAACCACUUUACAUGCUUUUUGAAAUAAUCUUUACUUCUGCUAUUGAUUCUGUAUAUAUGAACCCAUUGCCCAAUAUCCAUUUGGCCAGGGCACAUUCAUGAAAACAAAGGAUGCAUUUUACAGUAUUUUUAAUUAAUUUUUUAAAAAUAAAUUCAGAUAAAAUCUUUGCUUUGACAUUACAAGAAAUGAUGAAAGGGCCAUGUAUAAGCAUUACUGACAGGAGAGAUGCAGUUCUUGUUUUUGAUCCUAGCGUCCAUUUCUGAUGAAACUUAGAUUGACAAUAUGUAUUAUGUGGCAAACAUGGUUAUAUUUAUACCAGUGUUCCCACAAAAAUGUGUGUGGCACAUUUGUGAAUAUUUAUCGAGUAGAUUUGAUUGGAACAACAUGAAUAUGCUGUAGGAGGAGAAAAUGGUCUAGUGGAGCCCGGAGCAUCAGCAUUAAAAGUGUAGGUCUUUUCUUUAUUUCUGGAGACAUGCCAUCAUCAGCCCUUUCAUGUAAUUAUCUAAUAUUCUCUUGGUUUAGCUGAGAUCCCCACAGUUCCUGGGCAGUAGGGAAGGAAUAGAUUUUGUCACCAUCAAUAUUUUGUUAUGAUGUAGUCCACUGAUAAUCCAAAUUUUAUGGUUUCUUGGUAUUGAAUAGGUGUUAGGUCCCAUUAGCUUUACCAAAGUCCUCUUCCUACUUGAAAUGAACACUAACAGUGGAAAAUACACAGUCAUUGUAACACGUCUGCCAUUGGAAUACAAAUGAAUUAGGACCUCAUUACAUUUAAGCUUCCUAGGAUGCUGGGAGUAUGGAGCCUUCCAGAUCCCAUCCAACAAUGUACAGCUA
rnacentral:lncRNA from 1 species